GACGAACGCUGGCGGCGUGCUUAACACAUGCCAGUCGAACGGAAAGGCCCUGCUUUUGUGGGGUGCUCGAGUAGCGAACGGGUGAGUAACACGUGAGUAACCUGCCCUUGACUUUGGGCUAACUUCAGGUAACUGGGGCUAAUACCGGAUAGGAGCUCCUGCUGCAUGGGGGGGGUUGGAAAGUUUCGGCGGUUGGGGAUGGACUCGCGGCUUAUCAGCUUGUUGGUGGGGUAGUGGCUUACCAAGGCUUUGACGGGUAGCCGGCCUGAGAGGGUGACCGGCCACAUUGGGACUGAGAUACGGCCCAGACUCCUACGGGAGGCAGCAGUGGGGAAUAUUGCACAAUGGGCGGAAGCCUGAUGCAGCAACGCCGCGUGCGGGAUGAAGGCCUUCGGGUUGUAAACCGCUUUCGCCUGUGACGAAGCGUGAGUGACGGUAAUGGGUAAAGAAGCACCGGCUAACUACGUG
rnacentral:rRNA from 1 species